GACGAACGCUGGCGGCGUGCUUAACACAUGCAAGUCGAACGAUGAAGCUAGAGCUUGCUCUGGUGAAUUAGUGGCGAACGGGUGAGUAACACGUGAGUAACCUGCCCCGAACUCUGGGAUAACUGCUGGAAACGGUAGCUAAUACUGGAUACGACCUACGAAGGCAUCUUCUGUAGGUGGAAAGAAUUUCGGGUCGGGAUGGACUCGCGGCCUAUCAGCUUGUUGGUGAGGUAAUGGCUCACCAAGGCGACGACGGGUGGCCGGCCUGAGAGGGUGAGCGGCCACCGUGGGGCAGAGGCAAGGCACGGACGACUACGGGAGGCAGGAGUGGGGAAUAUUGCCCAAUGGGCGCAAGACUGAUGCAGCAGCGCCGCGGGAGGGAUGGCGGCCUUCGGGUUGUAAACCUCUUUUAGUAGGGAAGAAGCGAAAGUGACGGUACCUGCAGAAAAAGCACCGGCUAACUACGUGCCAGCCGCCGCCGUAA
rnacentral:rRNA from 1 species